AAUAUUGCGCAAUGGAGGUAACUCUGACGCAGCGACGCCGCGUGAUCGAUGAAGGUCUUCGGUUCGUAAAGCUCUGUCCUUGGGGAAGAAGGUCUUCGGACUUGACGGUACCUAAGGAGGAAGCACCGGCUAACUACGUGCCAGCAGCCGCGUUAAUACGCAGGGGGCAAGCGUUGUCCGGAAUUAUUGGGCGUAAAGGUUGCGUAGGCGGCCUUUUAAGUCCGAUGUGUAAGCCCACGGCUUAACCGUGGGAAUGCAUUUGAAACUGGAGGGCUUGAGUAUCGGGGAGGGUAGUGGAAUUCCCAGUGUAGCGGUGGAAUGCGUAGAUAUUGGGAGGAACACCAGUGGCGAAGGCGACUACCUGGACGAAAACUGACGCUGAGGCACGAAAGCUAGGGGAGCAAACA
rnacentral:rRNA from 1 species